rnacentral:lncRNA from 1 species
UUAAGUUAAACUAAAAUAAACUGAAAUAUAAAAAUUGAUGUUUAGUUUAUAUCCUUUUCUAUAUUAAACAAAUAAGGUAUAAUAAUUAAAUAAGAUAUAAUGAAGAUGGGAUUAAAUAUUAAUAGGUUUAAUUAUGAUAAACCAUAAUGCCUAAACUCAAACCUUAAUGAAGAUAAAGUAAAGAUAGUCCUCAACUUUUGAUAGAAUUUGAUUUAAAAAAUUUCAUAUUCCAUCAUUAUAAAUUGGGAAUGGGUGGAAAUACCUAAAAUUUAUGGAUUUCUCACUAUUAUUGUUUACUAAUAUACUAUAUGUAAUCUUAAUAAACAUAAAGAAUACAAAACUAAAAGAAUUAGACAUUAAAAAAACUCCAUAUAUUAGACCAGUGGUUCCCAAAGUGUGCACCAGAGUGCACUGGUGUGCCCUAAAAGAUUUCCGGGUGCACCCUAUGGUAUUCCAGAGAGAUGUGUGUCGAUAUAAAAAUAAAUAUAGUUAC